rnacentral:rRNA from 1 species
ACUCCUACGGGAGGCAGCAGUGGGAAUCUUGCGCAAUGGGCGAAAGCCUGACGCAGCAACGCCGCGUGAGGGAUGACGGCCUUCGGGUUGUAAACCUCUUUCAGAAGGGACGAAGCCACCGGGGUUAAUAGCCCACGGGGUGACGGUACCUUCAGAAGAAGCCCCGGCUAACUACGUGCCAGCAGCCGCGGUAAUACGUAGGGGCAAGCGUUGUCCGGAAUCAUUGGGCGUAAAGCGCGUGUAGGUGGCUUGUUAAGCCAGAUGUGAAAGCCCCGGGCUCAACCUGGGAACUGCAUUUGGAACUGGCAGGCUAGAGUUUUGUAGAGGGUGGUAGAAUUUCAGGUGUAGCGGUGAAAUGCGUAGAGAUCUGAAGGAACACCGGUGGCGAAGGCGACCACCUGGCCAAUAACUGACACUGAGACGCGAAGGCGUGGGUAGCAAACGGGAUUAGAUACCCUUGUGGCUCUGC